AUGCUCGCGUCGGCAGCACAUAUACAAAAAUUGGAAUGAUACGGAGAAGAUUAGCAUGGCCCUUGCGCAAGGAUGACACGCAAAUUCGCGAAGCGUUCCAUAUUUUU
rnacentral:snRNA from 1 species